GGGUUGUGAGGUUAAGCGACUAAGCGUACACGGUGGAUGCCCUGGCAGUCAGAGGCGAUGAAGGACGUGCUAAUCUGCGAUAAGCGUCGGUAAGGUGAUAUGAACCGUUAUAACCGGCGAUUUCCGAAUGGGGAAACCCAGUGUGAUUCGUCACACUAUCAUUAACUGAAUCCAUAGGUUAAUGAGGCGAACCGGGGGAACUGAAACAUCUAAGUACCCCGAGGAAAAGAAAUCAACCGAGAUUCCCCCAGUAGCGGCGAGCGAACGGGGAGCAGCCCAGAGCCUGAAUCAGUGUGUGUGUUAGUGGAAGCGUCUGGAAAGGCGCGCGAUACAGGGUGACAGCCCCGUACACAAAAAUGCACAUGCUGUGAGCUCGAUGAGUAGGGCGGGACACGUGGUAUCCUGUCUGAAUAUGGGGGGACCAUCCUCCAAGGCUAAAUACUCCUGACUGACCGAUAGUGAACCAGUACCGUGAGGGAAAGGCGAAAAGAACCCCGGCGAGGGGAGUGAAAAAGAACCUGAAACCGUGUACGUACAAGCAGUGGGAGCACGCUUAGGCGUGUGACUGCGUACCUUUUGUAUAAUGGGUCAGCGACUUAUAUUCUGUAGCAAGGUUAACCGAAUAGGGGAGCCGAAGGGAAACCGAGUCUUAACUGGGCGUUAAGUUGCAGGGUAUAGACCCGAAACCCGGUGAUCUAGCCAUGGGCAGGUUGAAGGUUGGGUAACACUAACUGGAGGACCGAACCGACUAAUGUUGAAAAAUUAGCGGAUGACUUGUGGCUGGGGGUGAAAGGCCAAUCAAACCGGGAGAUAGCUGGUUCUCCCCGAAAGCUAUUUAGGUAGCGCCUCGUGAAUUCAUCUCCGGGGGUAGAGCACUGUUUCGGCAAGGGGGUCAUCCCGACUUACCAACCCGAUGCAAACUGCGAAUACCGGAGAAUGUUAUCACGGGAGACACACGGCGGGUGCUAACGUCCGUCGUGAAGAGGGAAACAACCCAGACCGCCAGCUAAGGUCCCAAAGUCAUGGUUAAGUGGGAAACGAUGUGGGAAGGCCCAGACAGCCAGGAUGUUGGCUUAGAAGCAGCCAUCAUUUAAAGAAAGCGUAAUAGCUCACUGGUCGAGUCGGCCUGCGCGGAAGAUGUAACGGGGCUAAACCAUGCACCGAAGCUGCGGCAGCGACGCUGAUGCGUUGUUGGGUAGGGGAGCGUUCUGUAAGCCUG
rnacentral:rRNA from 1 species